rnacentral:lncRNA from 1 species
CUAGGUUGGGUUCCUAAGGUCUUCUACAUGUAGUUUGGCUCUAAAGUCGAGGUACUUGAACCAGUAGAUUCCUCGAUCCUCACCCAUUAGAGGCUCAUACAGACCGAGUUCGGUUCAGGGGAAUACAUUUCCCUAUGGCUGCACGAAGAUGAAAAUCUCAUAAAGACAUAGGUACGGAUGUAUCCCGAAAGUGAUCCAUU